AACACAGUCAUAAUAAAAGUCUCUCUGAGUCAGUAGAGAAAUAAUACAAACACAACCAUAAUCAUGUGCUGUUUAUCAGUAUUGCUGAUUCUGGCAGCUCUAUUCUCUGUUGAGUGCAUUCAGCUGGAUCAACCUGCAGUCAUUGUAAUUAAACCUGGAGAAACAUUUUCCAUCCCCUGUAAGAUUACUGGAUAUUCAGCCUCAGGUGGUGGCUACACAAACUGGAUACGACAAUCAAGCGGCAAAGCGAUGGAAUGGAUCGGAUGGUUUUAUAGUUCUAGUAGCAAUGGUGUCUCAGAUUCAUUGAAGAAUAAGAUCAGUUUCUCAGCUGAAUUCUCCAGCAACACAGUGUCCUUAACAGGAAAAAACUUCAACACUGAGGACACAGCUGUGUAUUAUUGUGCUCGAGAAACACAGCAUUUACUCUCAGGUUGUGCUCACACAAUCUGA